ACUGUGAAUGUUAUCUCCAUGAGACUUAAUUUGGCUUCAAUGCGCUAUUGAGUCUAAACAUAAGAUUGAAUGGUGUCACGUGAGUGACGUUGAGCCCUAAUGAUCUCCUCGAUGCGGAAAACGCAAACGGAAUCGCGGAUGUUGGUAAUAAAAAUUUAAUCAACUGUAAAACGUGGAAUAUUGCAGAAUUUCCCAUAAUUUGGCUGAAAUUUAUUUUAAAAAUAUCUAAAGUAGUCCUAAUUAUUGUAGUAACCUAAAUGAUUUCAUAAUUGUAAAAUUACAGACGAGUAGGCCUAGCGAAAAAUAUUUCAGUUUUCGAUUGAGGUGUUUUGAGAGAGGGGGGGCUCGGGCUCGGUCUUGUCUUGUGUUCGUGGGACCCUUACGCCACCUCACAACUUGGCUGUCAGUUUGAUAAUCAUGUUGAAGUGGCUGUCUGAGAAGGCCACAUAUAUUCGACCCUAACCCCUAUUUUCAGAGCAGGGCAAUACCCAAAGGACUAUUACUAGUCAGGCGAUAAGCUGUUUUGCAAAUUAUGUCAACAUACUAUUGAUGGACCCGGAAAAAUGUGUGAUGACCACUUAGUCUGAAGCCCAUGUGAUGUACAAGGAAAAGCACCGUGCCCAUCAGCAGAUUUAAGACGAUAAUUUAUUCAGGACUUUGUGGCUGUGUACGCAGAGUCUGACAUCCCCUUAGAAAAGCUAAGAAAGCUACGCCCCUUUGUAGUGAAGCAUUGCAAACAGGGAGGGGCGUUGCCUGUAAAUGUGAGCAGCCUCCGUCAAACGCACCUGCCCCGUGUGUUCGACCAACAUAUGACUGCCGUUCUACAGAAGAUCCAUGGGAAGAAGUUUGCGGUGGUUGUUGACAAGACAACAGAUGCAAGGGAUUGCAGCGUUGUAAACAUCGUCAUUGGUGUUGAAAACCAGUACUUUCUGGUGGAUGUCAUUUUCAUGGACAGAUGCAACGACUCAACGUUUUCCCAAGCUAUACUAGCCUCACUCCACAGCAACCAUCUGAACCUGACUGAUGCCUUGGCAGUGGUCACAGAUAAUUCAUCCUAAUGCCUGAAGACAUACAAGGAGGUUCUGAAAGGAGUGAUGCCCAACAGUGUCCAUGUAACCUGUCUCUGCCAUGUCAUCAAUCUGGUGGGUGAGACCUGGCAGCACUACAACUAUUGCUCUUAAGUUGCAUCCCUUGUGACAUGGAUGAGAUGAGAUAAGAUGGGUGAGCUUCCUCAUUGUGAAGGAGUUUGUGCAGGCCAAGGCUCCUCCUGAAGCAGUGAGCUCCAGAUGGAAUAGCUGGUUUGAGGCAGUGAAGUACCAUGCAGUGCAUGUUCUUCUGUACAGAGAGUUUUUGUUGGCAGAAAAGUCAUCAUCCGAGGUAGUCUCAAACAUCCCCAGCCAGCUGGAAACAGAAGGUUGCUGCAUUGUUGCCUAGGUUCUUGCAUUACUUUUUUUUCACUAAUAUUGAAACACUUAGUAGAACUCUGUAUUGAGCCCUUUCCUUGAUAAAAAAUUGUGCAAUGUUGUGUUGCAUCAUUACAAAUGUACUGUUAUCUUAUUAAAUUGUUGACUUUU